CACAGGGGUGCUGACGCGAAAGUCGGCUGAGAUUGGGAUAGACGUUUCUCUGACCCUUAACCUGAUACGGAUAAUGCCGUCGUAGGGAGCUUU
rnacentral:ncRNA from 1 species